rfam:Triticum aestivum genome assembly, contig: Triticum_aestivum_CS42_TGACv1_scaffold_223670_3B
CAAGUGCUUGCUCCGUUCGAAAAUACUUAUCAUCAAAAUGGAUAAAAGAAAGUGUAUUUAGAACUAAAAUAUGUUUAGAUACAUCUUCUUUUAUCAAUUUUGAUGACAAGUAUUUCCGGACGGAGGGAGUAGCAA